rnacentral:misc_RNA from 1 species
AAAAAUUCUGCUUUGCUGGUCAUGUGUUGAGUGCAAGCACUAUCAAGAAACCAGGAUGCUUGAUUUUCAGAUCUACCCAUCGUCAUAGCCAUGAAUAAGUGCUCCUCCUUAACUUCUUUUUCAACAAAAUUGACUUGCUGAGUCUGCUGCCCAGGUUGAGCUUGCUGUCCCUGCUGCUUCUGUCUACAGUAUUUUUCAAUAUGACCAGUCCUUUUGCAAAAUCUGCACUGCA